rnacentral:sRNA from 1 species
GCCAGGUGUGGUGGCUCACACCUGUAAUCCUAGCACUUUGGGAGGCUGAGGCAGGUGGAUCACUUGAGGUCAGGAGUUUGAGACCAGCCUGGCCAACAUGGUGAAACCCUGUCUCUA